ensembl:lncRNA
GUUCAAAAACAACAACAGAAAGAACGGAAAGAACGGAAAGAACCUCCACAGAGACAGAAACAUAGGGCAGAAAAUUAGGUGAAAGGUCAUGACCAACAACGGAAACAACGGAAAGAAAGGAAAGAACGGAAAGAACCUCCACAGAGACAGAAACAUAGGGCAGAAAAUUAGGUGACAGGUCAAGACCAACAACGGAAAGAAUGGAAAGAACGGAAAGAACGGAAAGAACGGAAAGUACCUCCACAGAGACAGAAACAUAGAGCAGAAAAGUGGGUGACAGUUCAAAAAAAACAAAGGAAAGAACGGAAAGAACGGAAAGAACCUCCACAGAGACAGAAACAUAGGGCAGAAAAUUAGGUGACAGGUCAAGACCAACAACGGAAACAACGGAAAGAACGGAAAGAACCUCCACAGAGACAGAAACAUAGGGCAGAAAAUUUGGUGACAGUUCAAAAACAACAACGGAAAGAAUGGAAAGAACGGAAAGAACGGAAAGAACCUCCACAGAGACAGAAACAUAGAGCAGAAAAUUAGGUAUCAGGUCAAGACCAACAACGGAAAGACCGGAAAGACCGGAAAGAACGGAAAGAACGGAAAGAACGGAAAGAACCUCCACAGAGACAGAAACAUAGGGCAGAAAAUUAGGUGACAGUUCAAAAACAACAAAAAGAACUGAAAGAAGGGAAAGAACCUCCACAGAGACAGAAACAUAGGGCAGAAAAAUAAGGUGACAGUUCAAAAACAACAAAAAGAACGGAAAGAACGGAAAGAACGGAAAGAACCUCCACGCAGACAGAAACAUAGGGCAGAAAAUUAGGUGACAGGUCAAAAACAACAACAGAAAGAACAGAAAGAACGGAACGAACGGAACGAACGGAACGAACAAAACAACCUCCACAGAGACAGAAACAUAGGGGAGAAAAUUAGGUGACAGUUCAAAAACAACAACGUAAAGAACGGAAAGAACCUCCACAGAGACAGAAACAUAUGGCAGAAAACUAGGGGACAGUUCAAAAACAACAACAGAAAGAACGGAAAGAACCUCCACAGAGACAGAAACAUAGGGCAGAAAAUUAGGGGACAGGUCAGGAACAACAACGGAAAGAACGGAAAGAACGGAAAGAACGGAAAGAACCUUUACAGAGACAGAAACAUAGGGCAAAAAAUUAGGUGACAGUUCAAAAACAACUGCAGAAAGAAUGGAAAGAACGGAAAGAACGGAAAGAACCUCCACAGAGACAGAAACAUAGGGCAGAAAAUAAGGUGACAGUUCAAAAACAACAACAGAAAGAACGGAAAGAACGGAAAGAACGGAAAGAACCUCCACAGAGACAGAAACAUAGGGCAGAAAAUUAGGUGACAGUUCAAGAACAACAACAGAAAGAACGGAAAGAACGGAAAGAACCUCCACAGAGACAGAAACAUAGAACAGAAAAUUAGGUGACAGGUCAAGACCAACAACGGAAAGAACAGAAAGAACAGAAAGAACCUCCACAGAGACAGAAACAUAGGGCAGAAAAUUAGGUGACAGUUCAAAAACAACUACAGAAAGAACGGAAAGAACGGAAAGAACCUCCACAGAGACAGAAACAUAGAACAGAAAAUUAGGUGACAGUUCAAAAACAACAACAGAAAGCACGGAAAGAACGGAAAGAACGGAAAGAACCUCCACAGAGACAGAAACAUGGGGCAGAAAAUUAGGUGACAGUUCGGAACGAACGGAAAGAACCUCCACAGAGACAGAAACAUAGGGCAGAAAAUUGGGUGACAGUUCAAAAACAACAACAGAAAGAACGGAAAGAACGGAAAGAACGGAAAGAACGGAAAGAACGGAAAGAACCUCCACAGAGACAGAAACAUAGGGCAGAAAAUUAGGUGACAGUUCAAAAACAACAACGGAAAGAACGGAAAGAACGGAAAGAACCUCCACAGAGACAGAAACAUAGGGCAGAAAAUUAG